CACCGGUUGCCAUCAUCACUUCUUCAUGUAUCUGUCUUUCUUCUUAUCUUUUUUAUUUUACAGGCAAAAUGUAAUGUCAGAAGUUGGAUUUAUGUAGUUCAGUCAGUGCAGUUGCAUUCACAUAUAAUUCGAGCUAUGGCAUUAAUCGACUUAACACCUUAAGCAGAAUGUUAGCUCAUAUCCUAGUUUAGGAAGUGUAACUUUUGAAUGAAGGCGGUAGCUGGUAACAUGGGCCCUUUUGUGUCAGUAUCCUUCUGGUUAGCCUAUAGCAACACACAAAUAGAAAACAAACACUGGCGUGAGUGAAGCCAAUGGAUUAAAAGCAGGAAAAGCACAUUGGCUGAAGGACUAGACGACAACAACGCUGCAGCACUAUUUGAUGGUGUGACCCUUCUUUCCACCUGACGUGAAAGCAAAAUGCACUACAUGGCAGUUAGCCGCCGCUAUAGUGGACGGUGUCCUUUCCACCAUUAGCAAAGGGUAACGUUUUGGUUGUGUCCCAGAAGUGAAGGAACGCUGUGAUUAUGUUUCAAAUCUAUUUUUUAUGCGCUACGCUUCUAAAAGAUGUCAAAGUCUGCAGUUUAGGUAGGAUCAGACAUGAAGUCAAACACGAAAGCAGUGUAAAACAUCGGGAAACUUUCAAAAUAAGAGUCAUGUGCAGAUAAACGUACAUCAAAUCACAGACCUUUUAAGCCACAGAAGUUUUUGGAUACAUGCAGCUGUCUUUCUCAUUGUUUGGUAUUGUGUGGACUUCUGAAAUCACGCAUGGUAUUGCGAUUCUCCUGUCAUUUUGUGACUGUGGGAUCAGCGGCGUGGAACGCUUUCGCUCUCGUUUUACGUCUGCAUCACUCCCGGUUGGAAAGGAGCUCAUGGGUAAAAUGCAGCUGUUACAUUACACACCGCUUUCAUGUCCGGUGGGAAAAUGGAGUUACACUUCAGAUUCAUGCAGUCUUGUGUAAAUGAUAAGAUUAGAAGACUGCAUCUGUGGUCUCAUCACUUCCAGAAGGGGGAGUGCACAGGUCGGUCAUAGCUCAACUAAGCUAGGAUGUCAAGAGAAAUUAUUUUUUAACGACGUUAUCUGGGUGCCUAAGCUUGAUUAGUAGUAGGCCAGUAUGGUUUGACUUCAGACAAACUAAGUUGUUUACGUGCAUUCUAAAAGUCUGACAGUUGUUAGAAUAAGGAAAUGAUUUGUCCUUUUUUUCUUUACUGCUUAUAAACACGGAGUGUCCGUAGAUAUCUUAAGAAAUACAACUGCAAUAACUCCAGUCUUUACCUGGUGCUUGUUGAUCACAAGAAUAAACCAACAAAUCUGAUUGUUGUUUCACCAGCUAUUACUUAGAACUAGAGAAACCAGAAACUGAUUUUUAAUGAAACUGAGAGGUUGUAUCAGUACAUCUACAACACCAGCUUAUUUCAUUCUACUUCCAUAGUAUCUUCCUAAUAAUAUUAUUAUUAUUAGGGAUCCACAUUUAAAAAAAAUUCUUUAACUGGCUAUUGACGCCCCUUAACGGUUAACUCAUUCACUGCCAAUGACGACUAAAGUCGUCAUUUUAAAUUCAACCAUUCACUGCCAAUGACGACAAAAGUUGUCUUUGCAUUUUUUUACUGUGUGGGCGUCGGAACGAGCCCUCGCACCGUGAGAACAAACAUCUCAGCUCUAAAGCCGAUCUUCAUCCGCAUACGUCACACGUCAUGUGAUUAGGAAGCAGAAAAUCCACGUGUUAGAAGAUCGUUUUGGGUCGCUGCUGUAAAAAAAAGUGAGGCGCAAACUGGAAAUGCUUUUGCUUAUCACAAUUCAACAACGCAUUAUGAAAGAAUGGAUAAAGCUCGAAAUGCACGGAUUCUUCCUGAUGUAAGAGGUGAGUCUCCGCUUUGUUUUGGUUGUUUUGGCGCCAACAUCAUCCUAGCGUGCAACGUUCUGUGACUCUUAAAAAGCAGUAAAAACAGUGAGAAACACUGGCAGCGAAGGGCUUUACCGAUCAGGAAACGGCUGGCAGCAAAUGAGUUAGUAGCCGGUUAACCGGAAACCAACACUUGAUAUUUCUUUGUUUUACUAGACAAAUUAGGAGUCAGACACAAGGACCGUCACGGCACACUGACCUUUUGCUGGUCUCGGUUCAGUUUGCUGCGCCAUGUUCUGCCAGGCUCAGCGCUUUGAUGUGAGGCUUAUUGAGUUCCAAGAAUGAAAUGACUAAGAAUAAACUGCUGUAACCGCUUUGAUAACCGCUUCGUGUUUGAGCACAUUUGUUUGGUCAUGUGACAAGCUCAUUUCUUUUUCUGCGGUGGCCCAGUAAACAUAUUUGAUAGUGGUGCUCUUGCGCCCUCUGGUGGCACAAAAUAUAUUGUAUCCCAGCGCAGCAGAAUAACUUGAAGCAGUUAACCGGGAAAAACUAGUUUAAUGUUUACAACAUUAGUGUUAAUUAACCGGUUAACUAUGUACAUCUCUAAUUAUUAUCUAAAAUCCUACCAUGUCGGUCAAUUUAGAUCUAGUUUCUAUUAAAAAUGAUGAUGUGUUCUUGCAGUACAGGAGAUAUAAAACAGGAAUUGUUAUAUUAAGUUAAAAUUUGGUGGUUUAGUCAUCAGCAGAAAUUAUGAGUCCCUACCAACAUGUUGCCUUAAAAUGUUUGCAUUAAUUGUUGGAGUCCACCCCAUUUCUGUGUUAGCAAAAAAUGUCAUGAACAACUGGGCAAAUUUUAGUGGCAUGUUUAAAACAUUUUAGUGGAUGUGCGUCAACUGCUCAUGAGCUUUUAAAUUUGACAAAUUUCAAGAUGGCCACAAUAACCAAUCUCCCACAUAAAUGGAUACAGCCCAGUCAGUUUUACAGAUACUGAGCUAUGUCGUAUUAGCUUAGAGGCCUUCAACAUUGUUUUUCAAUGUAAGCUCAUCAUAUUUUGUAACUGAUCUGAAAGGUGGUGAAAUGCGUAUUUUUUCAGGGGAUAAAAACGUUUGAUUCUUAUUGGAAUCUUUUGAGAGCUACAUUGAUUAUCAGCAUUUUGUCUCUUGCAAAGAUGAUUUACUUCAUGCAGUCUUCAGCUCACUCAAAGCACAUUUCAGAAAGCAAAAUGUAUUUUAUUCAAAGCUCUUUAAUGGAUGCGGUGCCACCUUUUUUCUGUUGCACAUCAAAAAAUUCUCCUAAAUCUUUUUACUGCAGUGGUCAUUAGCACUUAAAGGAUAGGAUCAGGCUAAGGACGAGUGGAAACAACUCCAUCGCCUUUUUACCCUCCACUACAAGGAACAUUACACAACAUCACUUUGUCUUAGCAGAUGGAGGGAGAAUGAGGGCUCAACAGUGGGGAGUCAGUGAGGGGAAAAAGGAAUGAGAGGAUAGCGGUGAGACUCCAGGAUGUUUUGGAGUUUGCAUGUGCAAGACAUAAGGGACAGGAAGAAGGCUAACAUCAUCUUCCACCGGUAAUUGAAAGCAGAUCUGGUCGCUGACGGUUCCUGCCAGCAACUAAAAAAAUAGAAAGAGAGAAGAAGAAACACACUUCCUGUCCCUUCACCUCAACCCGCCUCCCCUUUUUAUCCUGCAGCACACAGCUCUGAGCUCACCCAGAGACAUUCAGUCCUUGUGGCCUGUUCCUGGAAACAAGAGAGGGCUGAGUUUAGAGGUUUUUUUCUUUUCCUUUUUUAUUCCCUUUGCACAGCCCAGCUGAAACGCCAGCCGCAGAGCCCCGGACUUGAUUAUAUCCACAUGGGUGCAAACAUUUGUUUCUAAUCCAUUUUAUAUAAGAAACUUCCAGUGGUGCCGGAUGGAUGCAUGCCCAGAGUUUCUGUGAAGCCUUUUUGGAUCGUGUAUCUUAAGAUUUAAAGAUUCCGUGUUUGACUUUACAUUGAAUUUACAUGCAAAUAUAGUAAAAGUUCAUUUUAAUUAGCUGUUUCUCAUUUGACAAAGAACUUGACUCAAUUUUAACAUUUUUUUGGCCUGCAAUUUUUUUUUAUAAAUAUGUUCAACUGGCUUUAAUACUUGGCAUCUAGAAGAACUGCUUUAAUUCUCCCUUUAAAAAAUGCCCCUCGUCUCCUGUGUGUGUGUGUGUGUGUGUGUGUGUGUGUGUGUGUGUGUGUGUGUGUGUGUUGUGUGUGUGUGUGUGUGUGUGUGUGUGUGUGUGUGUGUGUGUGUGUGUGUGUGUGUGUGUGUGUGCGCGCGCGCGCGCGUGUGUGCGUGUGUUUGAGAUGUUCCGGACACCCUCCUUUAAGCCCCAUCAAAGAGCCAAAGCCUUACAGGCCCCUUGUAAAGUUCAGAAAACAACAGUAAAAGAUAAUAACUGGUCCUUGAACAAAAAGGAAAGGGGGCACAGCGAGGUGUGAGUCAAAACAUUUCCUUCUAAUUCCACAGAUGCUGUAAUUGUGACAACAAAGAGUCACAGUUUUAGAUUUAAUUAAACUCUGAAUUUUUAUCUCUGGUGUCAUUAGGAUUCCAGUAACAACCAAAAACGUCUACAGCCAGAGUUCACCCAUUCUUGUUCCUGUGAAUGACAUAUCGGAGGAAACUUUUAAAGGUGUCCUAGAAUUCUAAACCACGUUUAAAGAGCAAGUCACCCACAAAUCAACUUUUUUUUUGCUGAUAAACUAAAUAAACGAGUGUCUAAUCGUGCUGCAGACACGUGUAGUCAAUAAUUUGGCACUUCAGUGUAUCUUAGUUAAAAUUUAAACAUUCUGCCUAAAACUGGCAGUGCUGUGCCGUUGUCAGGUAAAAACUCUGCACUGUAUUUGAAUUUUAAUCUGCCCCCGCUAUUGGCUAAGAGGUAUGCUAUGAUGUAAACUGGUACAUUAUGAUGUCACAAUGCUGUUGUGAGCCUGUGUGUGUGUGUAUUUGUUAGCGGCUCCGCCCUCUCAGUCUGCCAGGCAACAGCAUUUGUUGCAUUUUUCAAACAUGAAGUGGGAGUGGAGUUAGACUCUGGUAGGGGGUGACUUGCUCUUUAAAUAGUUGCUGUUUAAUACAGGCAUCUUGGGAUGUCUAAUGUAGCAUACCAAGUAGCCUGUGCCUUCUCUGACCUGCUUUCCUAUGCUAAUUAGUAAUGUUGUAAUGCCCGUGGAGAAGCGUUUAGUUCUGAGAAAAGCUGACAUGACAUGUCAUAAGCUCAAGACACACCACCUUACAUCUGCAUUUCCCUACCCACUUCUGCAUUGUAUAAAUGACUACGUUUACAUGCAGCCAAUAUCCGGGUUAUGAUCGGGUUAAGGUCGGCAUUCGGGUUUCUGAGUUGAUCAGAAUAACCCGUUUACAAGCACAAAUAGAAAGAGUUACCCCUAACUUGCAUAACCCGAUGUAAAUGCGGACGUUGGGGUAGCGUCAGGACGUGUGGACUACGUCCAGACGCAAUACGCGUCAUUUCCGGUUCUUCUCGUUCCGGUAUCCCUGAAAACAACAACAUGUUUCCCAGUUUGGAAGAGAUAGCGACCGCGUUUGUUUGCGCUUUAGUUCCCUCGUCACUCCGAAAGUGUGGUGCUGUGCUGCGACUCGCCAUGUUGCUCCCAACUUGUUGUUUACUUCCGGUGUUCUGGCGCAUACAAGAUGUCUCGCUACUCAAAAGACCAAGAUUCCUUGCGAACAGAGCAUGCGCAGAACACACGCUUUGAUGGGGAUAUCCCGGUAUGCGUUUACACGACCAAACAUUCGGGUUAGAAAAGGGUUACCCCAGGUGUAGUAACCGGGUUUUUAAAAACCCGGUUAUGAGCAUAUCCGGGUAUCUGGCGGUGUUUACAUGGACCUGCGGAACCGGGUUAUUGUGAAUAUUCAGGUUUUAAAAGGGUUACUGGCUGCAUGUAAACGCACUGAAUGUUAAUCACGGUAAUGCUAACCACUAACAAUGCUAGCCUGAGCUACCGCUAAUGCUAGGCCAAACUGCUGCUAAUGCUAUCCUGAGUUGCUAAAGCCCUUAUUGGAAAUGAGGAAAACAAAGAAGUAUGUGGGAGCAGUCAUUCCAGGAUGUAAAGGGAAUAUUCAGGCUGCGAAUGAAGAGCUGAAAGAUCCAUAUCUUGCCCAUUGAGUUGUCUGGAUACUGUACAUGACUGUACACAGUGUUACUAGACUCAGGCAGUGUCAUAGAGCCAUCAGGGAAACCGAUCAAUCAGCAUAAGCUCAUUUAAUAUUUAUGUCCUGGCAAGUGGGUGGGGCAAGACAGACAAUAAAGCAUUAUAAGGCUUUAUUAUGGAGUUGUUUGGCAAUUAAUCAUUAGGGCUAAGCAAGCCCCCACAAUGCAGAUCUGAAAUUGAAUCAAACCCGGAAGUACCAUAAAUUGCAUUUCCACCCUCAUCCGCUGGAGGCUGGUGUCAGAAGCGAGCAAAUCCUCAUUGACUCCCAUGUUAAAAAUACCAAUUUCCCAGCAGAAAUAAACAUGUUUACAGCCUGGUACCCAAAAAAUGUUUUUUGUUUAAAUAAUCUAGUUUACACUCAUGACAAUUCUGAGGGGGUGAAUUGUUUUCUCACUCUUCUGUUUAAGUGUAUUAAAAGCCUAAAAUUCUGUAUAAUUGAUGAGCAUCCAACACACGUGACUGCCGCUUCAGACCCACGUGACCACAGAGCUAGCUCCGUGGAAAGGCCUCAGUAGAGCCUCGGUCUGGCUUGGAAACUGCUCCGGCAUUUUGAGUGUCUCUGUUUGUGUAUUCGUUUUUGGAUAUUUUUGUGCAAUUGUUGGACAAAAUGACUUGCUGUGGCAUUAAUUGCACUAAUAGAGCGUCCAAGGAGUCUCCACUUCAUUUUUUUCGGUAAGUUAAAUUAUAUUUAUGUAUUUUAGGUCACUGCCGCCUUUAAACUAGCUGAGUUUAUCGAAGUAGCUAGCUAACUAUCAUUUUAACAUGUAGCAUGUACUGUUUAACCAUGAAAUUUAGAUGUAAAAUACGGUAAAAUUAUUAAUAGGGCAUAUUUCGAUGGGUAAAAGAGUAAAACCCAGUGCAUUUAACAUAAAAAUGGGUUGUAAUAUGACGGAGCUCUUGGAGGGACUCUUCUGUGCUCCAUUCUUCCACCCGGUUCUCCCCAGCGGUCAGCCCGGUGCAUGUCUGACCGAUGCAGCGCCUACUAGCUGCUGCGCGGGCUGACGGCUUGUGGAGCUCUCGGACUCGAAGAGAGACCUGACCGCAGAAAUACUGCAGCUCAAUUCCCUACCUAAAUGCAAAGUUUGAGAGACGUGGUUCACUUAAUUCCGCUAAUAUCAGUCUGCACUGCCUUCGGGCUAAUUUGACAAGUUCACAAAAUGUGGAACGGGAUGUAAGGUUAGAAUCAGCGGCGAAUCGGAACAUAUCUCGAAGCCCUGGCCGACGAAACGGUCCACAUGACUGUUACUGUCAGGCUUGGAGAAAAUUUGGGAUGUUUUUGUGUCAGUCGAUUCUGCAACAGUGACUCGAACUAAUGCAGCACUAGUUGACAGACGUCAUUACAGCGUGACCCGGUUCUGUGAGGAAUUCUGUUCAGGAGGUCGCAUUUCAGGCUCUCCACAUCAUAUGCGACUGACUUUUACGUUAUAAUAACGGUCACACACUAGGAAUGUUAUAAAGCACCUAUAUCUGACAGUUUCUUUUGUAUAUUAUCUGACUUUAUAAACUCCAACAACAAUGUGCUUCUAUUUUUUUCAGGCUAAAUCUACCCAAGACAUUGGCUGUCAGACUGAUUUAGUAGUCUGCAAGAAUGCACUUGUCCAGGCUGAUGUGAAGCCUUACCCAUAGCAAAGCCACCCAGUUUAGAGCUCCCAGCUGCUGUGUGUCUGGUGACACAGGGACCAUGACGGAAAUUCAUCUUACAGAAAGUCUGGCUCAUCAUUUAGCCAGAUUUCUAAGUUCCUGGGUGCCUUCAAUGUGCAGGGACUGUCCAAGCAGACAUUCUAUCGACAUCAGGCAAAGCUCUUAAUUCCAACAAUGAGCUGGCAGUGGCAUCUAGAGCACGCUGAUAUCAUCCAGGAGGCUACUGAAUUUGGACCUGUGACUCUUGGUGGUGACAUGCGAGCUGAUUCACCUGGUGAAUACGUUUAAAUUUAUUUAUUUUAUUCCUUUGCUAUCAAAUGUAAAUUAAGUAAUAACUUGCAUUUCUGAAGGACACUCAGCCAAAUAUGGCAGCUACACCAUGAUGGAUCUCAAAAGAAACAAAGUUAUUGAUAUCCAACUCGUACAGGUACAACAUUACCUGAUGAUUCCAAUACAUUUCUUGGUUAAUUAUUCACAGAUCAAUGGAGAAUUAUGUUUAU